ensembl:lncRNA
CAUCCAUUUUGUGCUGACUAAUAGGCUACCCAGCAUGUCCAGUGUCAGCCAUCACAGCCCAGCUAGAGAUCUAUAUCAGCCGUGUUAUUCUAACCCUAAACAAUAGCAUCCAAGUUAUGGUUGGCUGGGUAGCCUUUGGGCCCACACUCUGUUAAGCGCCAGGUAGAAAAUAUCAGAGCUUCGUUGACUAAAGGCAUCACAAUCCAAGAAGCCUUGAUGACUGUGGCAGAUGUCUGGUCUGGCCAGAAGAGAAACUGAAUAAUCAUGCUUGCUACUUGCUACCUACACUGUUUUGAGAGGAAAGAGGAACAACAUCUGAGCCAUAUGCUGGCCAGAACUUGAAAAUGCUAUUUCUGGUACUCCAGUCUUCCUCACUCUCUCUAAAGCCUCUCUCUCUGCCCUGGGACAGCUCAUCCAUCAACUGUCUGAUAUUUCUGAGUUGACUUCAACAGGGUGUCCUCUCCACCCCCUUCUCUCCUCCUCUAGGUAGCAGCUGAGAUUUACAGCUUGUCUGCUCUGAGGAAUUUUCUUUAAACACUAAUAAAAUUAUCCUCAAGUUUCCGUUUGAAUCCAUUCUUAAGUUUUGAGACUG